CCUACGGGAGGCAGCAGUGGGGAAUAUUGCACAAUGGGGGAAACCCUGAUGCAGCGACGCCGCGUGAGUGAAGAAGUAUCUCGGUAUGUAAAGCUCUAUCAGCAGGGAAGAAGAAAGACGGUACCUGACUAAGAAGCCCCGGCUAACUACGUGCCAGCAGCCGCGGUAAUACGGAGGGGGCAGGCGUUAUCCGGAUUUACUGGGUGUAAAGGGAGGGUAGACGGCUGUGCAAGUCUGAAGUGAAAGCCCAGGGCUCAACCCUGGGACUGCUGUGGAAACUGUGGAGCUAGAGUGCUGGAGAGGUAAGUGGAAUGCGUAGUGUAGCGGUGAAAUGCGUAGAUAUUAGGAAGAACACCAGUGGCGAAGGCGGCUUACUGGACAGUAACUGACGUUGAGGCUCGAAAGCGUGGGGAGCGAACAGGAUUAGAUACCCGAGUAGUC
rnacentral:rRNA from 1 species